UUGCGGCCUGUGCGAGUAGGCGCUUCUGCAUUCAGCCUCCCGGGCGAGCGGCGCGCAGAAACCUCGAACCAGUGGAGCGCACUCGUAACCUGGAUCCCCGAAGGCCGCGAAGGCAGUACCGUUUCCUCAGCGGCGGACUGCUGCAGUGAGC